rnacentral:rRNA from 1 species
AUUGAACGCUGGCGGCAGGCCUAACACAUGCAAGUCGAGCGGAUGAAGGGAGCUUGCUCCUGGAUUCAGCGGCGGACGGGUGAGUAAUGCCUAGGAAUCUGCCUGGUAGUGGGGGAUAACGUCCGGAAACGGGCGCUAAUACCGCACACGUCCUGAGGGAGAAAGUGGGGGAUCUUCGGACCUCACGCUAUCAGAUGAGCCUAGGUCGGAUUAGCUAGUUGGUGGGGUAAAGGCCUACCAAGGCGACGAUCCGUAACUGGUCUGAGAGGAUGAUCAGUCACACUGGAACUGAGACACGGUCCAGACUCCUACGGGAGGCAGCAGUGGGGAAUAUUGGACAAUGGGCGAAAGCCUGAUCCAGCCAUGCCGCGUGUGUGAAGAAGGUCUUCGGAUUGCAAAGCACUUUAAGUUGGGAGGAAGGGCAGUAAGUUAAUACCUUGCUGUUUUGACGUUACCAACAGAAUAAGCACCGGCUAACUUCGUG